GUUGCAUCAGACAAGAGAGCAGUAUGUGUCUAAAAACUAGGGGAUUCUUAUCCGCUGAUCCAAUCCUCCUCCUCAGUUUCGCCCCAAGUCAGCAGCAGCCCACUUCUUCUGCGUUGGGUUGGCAGCAAAGGUAACUGCUUGGUGGUGGCCGAGAAGGGAAUGGCAAUGGUGGCUCAACCUCACCACCUUUUGUUCCCCCAGUUCUAGACGAAGACAGGAGCUGACAACAGCCAAUGAGAGAAGGACCUCUGCUGGUUUUGUCUAGAUACUACAAUCUUUGUUUAAUUAUUUCUGUAAAAUCUGUGACUCUAUUGAGAAGAUUGUUAUAAUUAUUAUCUCUUAUAAACUUAUAAACUCUC